AGGGGUUUGAUCCUGGCUCAGGAUGAACGCUGGCGGUGCGCCUAAUGCAUGCAAGUCGAGCGACGCAUACCCAGUCCGUAAGGACAGGGUAUGACGGAGCGGCGAACGGGUGAGUAACACGUGAGCAACCUGCCCCACAGAUCGGGAUAGCCCAGGGAAACUUGGAUUAAUACCGGAUAUUCUCCUUGGACCGCAUGGUCCGUUGAGGAAAUGCCUUUGUGCUGUGGGAUGGGCUCGCGAUUUAUCAGUUAGUUGGUGGGGUAACGGCCUACCAAGACAAUGACGAGUAGCUGGUCUGAGAGGACGAUCAGCCACACUGGAACUGAGACACGGUCCAGACUCCUACGGGAGGCAGCAGCAGGGAAUCUUGCGCAAUGGACGAAAGUCUGACGCAGCGACACCCGCGUGGGGGAUGAAGGCCUUCCGGGUUGUAAAACCCCUUUUUAGGAGGGAAGAAAUUGACGGUACCUCCAGAAAAAAGGACCGGGCCAACUACGUU
rnacentral:rRNA from 1 species